rnacentral:sRNA from 1 species
AUGCGAUGAGUCGAUUUGGUCUUUGGACCAAAUUUACGCUGGGGAGGUCAUUAACGCAGGAGCGGACCUUGAUGACUUGUGUGAACCUUUUCAUCUCAUGGAAACAUGCCCCUGAACCUUCUUUCUUCGGAGAGAAGGUUUUU